rnacentral:rRNA from 1 species
AGUGAACGCUGGCGGUAGGCCUAACACAUGCAAGUCGAACGGCAGCACAGUAGGAGCUUGCUCUUACGGGUGGCGAGUGGCGGACGGGUGAGGAAUACAUCGGAAUCUACUUUUUCGUGGGGGAUAACGUAGGGAAACUUACGCUAAUACCGCAUACGACCUACGGGUGAAAGCAGGGGAUCUUCGGACCUUGCGCGAUUGAAUGAGCCGAUGUCGGAUUAGCUAGUUGGCGGGGUAACGGCCCACCAAGGCGACGAUCCGUAGCUGGUCUGAGAGGAUGAUCAGCCACACUGGAACUGAGACACGGUCCAGACUCCUACGGGAGGCAGCAGUGGGGAAUAUUGGACAAUGGGCGCAAGCCUGAUCCAGCCAUACCGCGUGGGUGAAGAAGGCCUUCGGGUUGUAAAGCCCUUUUGUUGGGAAAGAAAAGCAGCAGGUUAAUACCCCGCUGUUCUGACGGUACCCAAAGAAUAAGCACCGGCUAACUUCGUG